CAUGGAUGUGUUCCAGAAGGUAGAGAAGAUCGGAGAGGGGACCUAUGGGGUGGUCUACAAGGCCAGGAACAAAGUGACUGGGCAGCUUGUGGCCCUCAAGAAGAUCAGGCUGGAUCUGGAGGCCGAGGGAGUUCCCAGCACUGCCGUCAGGGAGAUCUCGCUGCUGAAAGAACUGAAGCACCCCAAUAUUAUCAAGCUGCUGGAUGUGGUCCACAGAGAGAAGAAGCUGUAUAUGGUGUUCGAGUUCCUCACUCAGGACCUGAAGAGGCACAUGGAUUCCUCCCCCACCUCAGAGCUCCCUCUGCCCGUUGUCAAGAGCUACCUUGCCCAGCUGCUGGAAGGGGUGAGUUUCUGCCACUCCCACCGGGUCAUUCACCGAGACCUGAAGCCGCAGAACCUGCUCCUUGAUGGGCUCGGGGCCAUCAAACUGGCCGACUUUGGACUGGCUCGGGCCUUUGGGGUUCCCCUGCGCACCUACACCCACGAGGUGGUGACCCUGUGGUACCGUGCCCCUGAGAUCCUCUUGGGCAGCAAGUUUUAUUCAACAGCUGUGGACAUCUGAAGCAUUGGCUGCAUCUUUGCAGAGAUGGUGACUGGCAAAGCUCUGUUUCCGGGUGACUCAGAGAUUGACCAGCUCUUUCGGAUCUUUCGCACCCUGGGGACCCCCAGUGAAGCCACAUGGCCCGGAGUCUCCCAGAUGCCUGACUAUCAGAGUAGCUUCCCCAAAUGGAGCAGGAAGGGGCUGGAGGAAAUCGUGCCUAGUCUGGGACCAGAAGGCAAGGACCUGCUCCUGCGACUCCUGCAGUAUGACCCCAGCCAGCGGAUCUCAGCCAAGACUGCCCUGGCCCAUCCCUACUUCUCUCCUGGACACUCCCUAGCACCCCAACAAUGUACAGCAGGGCGUUCCUCCCGCUGAGAACACGUAUGUGGGGCCCACCACCUCACACCCUCGCCAGCUGCCUCCCUCCCUUUCUGCCUUUCUGGGGAAGAACAGACCCUGAGGGGCUUGGGUUCAUGUCGUCUACAGGUUGGCAAGUUCCUGUAUUGUUUGUUGGAUUUAAUGGAGCACUUUCGAAAGGCAUGCAGGUGCUCCCUGCCCAAUUGGGGGCAGGGCACAGAACUCCUCUGAAUGACCAGACAGUAGGUGUCAGGUUAGAUAAGAGACCCUAGCCCUUCGCCUUCACUGCACAGCUGCAGAGCAUGGCCCCUGAGAGAGGGUGCCCUCUGCUGGUCUUUUGGUUUAGGCUGUUGGGAGAGUUGAAUUCCAGUUCAGAGGACCUAGUUAAACAGGAGGAGGGGCAGGGCAGUUCUCUGAUCCUAAGAGUGGUUACAACACCUGAGGGUGUUCUAAGUAGUCGCGUCAUCAAAAAUAGGCAGUUGAUGUCCUUCUGUGUGACACAUGGAAAAUAAAUGUAACUUCUUCCUGA